UAGGGAAUCUUCGGCAAUGGGGGCAACCCUGACCGAGCAACGCCGCGUGAGUGAAGAAGGUUUUCGGAUCGUAAAGCUCUGUUGUAAGAGAAGAACGUGUGUGAGAGUGGAAAGUUCACACAGUGACGGUAACUUACCAGAAAGGGACGGCUAACUACGUGCCAGCAGCCGCGGUAAUACGUAGGUCCCGAGCGUUGUCCGGAUUUAUUGGGCGUAAAGCGAGCGCAGGCGGUUUAAUAAGUCUGAAGUUAAAGGCAGUGGCUUAACCAUUGUUCGCUUUGGAAACUGUUAAACUUGAGUGCAGAAGUGGAGAGUGGAAUUCCAUGUGUAGCGGUGAAAUGCGUAGAUAUAUGGAGGAACACCGGUGGCGAAAGCGGCUCUCUGGUCUGUAACUGACGCUGAGGCUCGAAAGCGUGGGGAGCAAACAGG
rnacentral:rRNA from 1 species